rnacentral:ncRNA from 2 species
GCAACGCCCUAGGGGAGUUUUUGACUGAGAGCCCGGCCACAACGGGUAACCCUUUGAACCUGAUCCGGGUCAUUCCGGCGGAGGGAAGCGGCGCGAACUCCGG